GCGGAGAGAGGCCGUUUUCCUCCCGCCCGGACGCGGAGAGCCGCUCGAAGGAGCUGGACCGUAAGGCGGGGCUGAGCCCCUGGACCCCCGCGGUGGUUUAUUUUCCUCCCCAGCCCGGUGCUCUUACACGUCAUGACUGGAUAACAGUUGCUUUCCAAUUUUGUUCAGCCUCCCGUCUGUGAAGGGAGCAGCAAACUGCACUUGAGGCAAGAGGGAGAAGCCGCUACAGUAUCUCAGUCUGGAGUCUCUGACACUACACUGGAAGUGAAGAGGUGACCCAAGUUUAAAUGAGAUGGCUUGUCUAGAUGUGCUGCUGAGGCUACUGUCAUCUUUACUGGGUACCAAGAAAAAGGAAACAGCUUAUUAUCAUUUGGGAGACCCAGAGUUGGAGAGUUCUCCACAUUAGCCUUGAAAAGGCUAACUCUACAGUGACCUCCCAUGGCGGAGCUUCAGGUGUAUCAUUAGUCAUGGCAUAGAAGGAAGCGGAGCCCCACACCCAGAAGAAUCUGCAACAGGAAAUUACAGCCCCCAACAGAAGACGUGUAUUACAUCUCCUACAAGAAAUAGGCUACCCCAGCAAUUCGGCCAAUGAGAAACCAUCAUCUACUUGGAACUCUUCCUUUUCUCCAAUGGAUUCUUUCAAAACAACCCCUCCCAACUUUCCCGUUCAUAAAAUAAUGUUCCUCCUCUUUGUAGGCCUAGCCUUUGGUUUUUGCUGUAGGUUGCUUGUCCCAAAUUACAACUCUCUGCUAUUCCCAAAUAAACCUUUGUACACUUUC